rnacentral:lncRNA from 1 species
CUAAAUUGCUCUUCAUGACUAAUAUAUUUAUCUUUAAAAAUUAUUUUGAAAUUUUAGAUUUACAAAAAAGUUAUAAAAAAUUAAAAGAGUCUUCUUGUGUCUUCAGUUAGCUCCCACAAAUGUUAACAUCUCAUAUAUCCGGGAAGCAUCAUUAGAAAAACUCUAAAAUGAUUGAAAUGAGACCUUGAUUUGUGAAUUAUAAUUUACUUUUCUAAAUAAGAAUUAGUCAUUUGAGCUUAGCUUUUUGUUGUAUAGAAAAAAAAAUUAAAAAACGGUUUAAAAAUCCAAAAUAGAUGAUAACGUGGUUGAAUACCAUAUAUUUGUCAAAUAUUUGACAAAAACCCUGUUUCUUAUGCCAAGCUGUCAAAACAAGGAACUUCUUGUACACUUCUUGUACACUUAACAACACCUCUCAUUU